rnacentral:piRNA from 1 species
UACAGCACUCUUUAUGACUGUCCCUCAGCA